rnacentral:rRNA from 1 species
GACGAACGCUGGCGGCGUACUUAACACGUGCAAGUCGAACGGAAAGGCCCUGCUUUUGUGGGGUGCUCGAGUGGCGAACGGGUGAGUAACACGUGAGUAACCUGCCCUUGACUUUGGGAUAACUUCAGGAAACUGGGGCUAAUACCGGAUAGGAGCUCCUGCUGCAUGGUGGGGGUUGGAAAGUUUCGGCGGUUGGGGAUGGACUCGCGGCUUAUCAGCUUGUUGGUGGGGUAGUGGCUUACCAAGGCUUUGACGGGUAGCCGGCCUGAGAGGGUGACCGGCCACAUUGGGACUGAGAUACGGCCCAGACUCCUACGGGAGGCAGCAGUGGGGAAUAUUGCACAAUGGGCGGAAGCCUGAUGCAGCAACGCCGCGUGCGGGAUGACGGCCUUCGGGUUGUAAACCGCUUUCGCCUGUGACGAAGCGUGAGUGACGGUAAUGGGUAAAGAAGCACCGGCUAACUACGUG